rnacentral:rRNA from 1 species
UGGGGAAUCUUGCACAAUGGGGGAAACCCUGAUGCAGCGACGCCGCGUGAGCGAUGAAGCCCUUCGGGGUGUAAAGCUCUUUCGGCAGGAACGAUAAUGACGGUACCUGCAGAAGAAGCUGCGGCUAACUACGUGCCAGCAGCCGCGGUAAUACGUAGGCAGCAAGCGUUGUUCGGAAUUACUGGGCGUAAAGAGUGUGUAGGUGGUGUCGUAAGUUUGGUGUGAAAUCUCCCGGCUUAACUGGGAGGGUGCGCCGAAGACUGCGAUGCUGGAGUAUGGGAGAGGAAAGCGGAAUUCCUGGUGUAGCGGUGAAAUGCGUAGAUAUCAGGAGGAACACCUGCGGUGUAGACGGCUUUCUGGACCAUUACUGACACUGAGACACGAAAGCGUGGGUAGCAAACAGGAUUAGAUACCCCAGUAGUCCCUGAGCGGGCUGGCAAGGCGCAU